CGCGUAGGCGGCCUGGUAAGUAGGGGGUGAAAUCCUGCGGCUUAACCGCAGGGCUGCCUUCUAAACUGUCAGGCUCGAGCACGGUAGAGGCAGAUGGAAUUCCCGGUGUAGCGGUGGAAUGCGUAGAGAUCGGGAAGAACAUCAGUGGCGAAGGCGGUCUGCUGGGCCGUUGCUGACGCUGAGGCGCGACAGCGUGGGGAGCAAACA
rnacentral:rRNA from 1 species